GACGAACGCUGGCGGCGCGCCUAACACAUGCAAGUCGAACGAGCGUGAGGAGGUUUACUUUCUCAAGCGAGUGGCGAACGGGUGAGUAACGCGUGAGGAACCUGCCUCAAAGAGGGGGACAACAGUUGGAAACGACUGCUAAUACUGCAUAAGCCCACGACCCGGCAUCGGGUAGAGGGAAAAGGAGCAAUCUGCUUUGAGAUGGCCUCGCGUCCGAUUAGCUAGUUGGUGAGGUAAUGGCCCACCAAGGCGACGAUCGGUAGCCGGACUGAGAGGUUGAACGGCCACAUUGGGACUGAGACACGGCCCAGACUCCUACGGGAGGCAGCAGUGGGGAAUAUUGCACAAUGGGGGAAACCCUGAUGCAGCGACGCCGCGUGGAGGAAGAAGGUCUUCGGAUUGUAAACUCCUGUUGUUGAGGAAGAUAAUGACGGUACUCAACAAGGAAGUGACGGCUAACUACGUGCCAGCAGCCGCGGUAAAACGUAGGUCACAAGCGUUGUCCGGAAUUACUGGGUGUAAAGGGAGCGCAGGCGGGAAGACAAGUUGGAAGUGAAAUCCAUGGGCUCAACCCAUGAACUGCUUUCAAAACUGUUUUUCUUGAGUAGUGCAGAGGUAGGCGGAAUUCCCGGUGUAGCGGUGGAAUGCGUAGAUAUCGGGAGGAACACCAGUGGCGAAGGCGGCCUACUGGGCACCAACUGACGCUGAGGCUCGAAAGUGUGGGUAGCAAACAGGAUUAGAUACCCUGGUAGUCCACACUGUAAACGA
rnacentral:rRNA from 1 species